UCGAUUCUAUGUUUGGACAUCUAGAUAUGAGAUUUUUACACUGAUUCUACGCUUUUGCUGCCCUAAUGUUCACUUUUAUGCUUCUUAAUUUCUUCCGACUGCUCGUUGCAUUGCAUUUGCUGAUGAAUCUUAUUCCUUCAACCAAAUAGAAAAUAACAGCUCCACACACAUUUGUUCUUCCAGAUAUUAUUAUAGAUCUGUCUAGUUCUUUCUAUUUCACAGAAAACCUAUCCGAUUCUGUAUUCUCUUGGAAAAUCCCCUUCAAAUAUCCAUAAUCUAGUGUAAAUUAACUUCUAGAACUACAUUGUCCAGGAAAUCUUGGAGCUGUAGUAUCAUCUAAAGGCUCCCAAGCUGUGAAAUCAAACCAAUUGAAGGUCCUUCCACUUCAGAUCUAAUGCUUUAAUUGGAGAGGGUUCAUAUGGAAGUAUAAAUUAUGGUCUACUUAAGAAUGAUGAGCAAGCAGCAACCAGACAAUGAGUUCUUAACUCAGGUUUCUAUACUACUGAUGCUGAAACAUGAAAACAAUCUUGAAUUGGUCACCCAAUAUGAAAGUGUAACUCAAUAUUGUAACAACUUCAGGAGGAGCCAUAUUGGGAUUUUCAGCAGCACCGGUUAUCCAUGAGGCAAACGAUUCCCUAACAGGUCAGGCAAAGUGAUCUUUCCCGAGUUAUUUGGAUCAAGUUUAUUGAAUUGCUCGCAUAUCUGUAUCACGUCUUUCUCCCUAAUCUUCCCCAGCUCUUUCAGCUUAUACACCACGUAUUCUGAUUGACUGUUCAAGAAACAGUAAAAUAAAAAUUAUACUAAAUUUUGGUUAGGAGAAAUUGAAGUCAUAGAAAUGCUAGAUUAUAACUAAAGUAGGAGUUGUCCUUAUCAAAUAAUAUGAUUGUUUCUUGAACUAGCUGAAGUGUGUUUAGAGACAAAGGUGACUAACACAAGCAGCCAAGAUUUCAAUCACAUUAGACAUUUACUGUUUUAAUUGUUCAAAUCUAGAAAACUCCAAUGGUUGAGAUAGGGGCAACACAUAAACCAUAUAAAGGAGAUAGCUUUAUACACAUUGUUUUAUAGCAUAUGUUAAUAGAAAGACAGAUCUAGGAGCUUGUCUGUUUGAAGAUUUUCUUCUUUUUUUUAAGAUUAUUUGAGUUAUUUAAUGAUUGUUUGAAGAUAUUUUAAUUAGGAAAGUAUGUAAAGACUAUUUUAUAUAAUAUUAUUAAGAAUAGAGAAUAUAAUAAUUGAUUAGGAAAGAGACCUGAUGAAACCAUUGUGAUUGAUAUCAGCAGCAAUGAGAUCAUGUACAGUAAUUUCUCUUUGUAAAACCCAUUUAGCAAUUCUCCUAUGCCUUUUGUCAACUCUAGCCUCAGCAAGGUAAAGAAAAGCUCUAGCCACAGCCAGGGUCGAGACCAGCAGCCAGAGUGCCGCAAAAAGCCUGCCGGAUAGUGUAUUGAAUGCCCUAUCUCCAUAUCCAACCGUUGUCACUGACAUUACAGAUAAGUAAAAAGAGUCCACCCAAUUCAAAUCCUCCACUUGUUUCAGAACCACCGCCCCUAACCCAAUACACAGCACCACCACCCCCAGCGCCAAACCCACCUGUCAAUUAUAUGUAAUAUUACUAAUUAGGGUUCGUUCUUACUUGAUAGUUGAUUCUACUACUACUAUUAAUACCUUUAGUCUGAUCCUCAUCCUCCCUUUCUCGACAUCCACAAUGUAAUUCCUGGGCGAGAAGCUUUUACCAGGGGUUCUGCCGGCUUUAAUUCCGGCGAUAAUCAUUGACUCUUGCCUAUCCAGGACGUAAUUCACGACCCCACUUAACAAAAUGUCGAUGAAUCCGAAACCCAGUAGAACGAAGACGCAUGCGAACACCUUGGUGGCUGGAGAAGAAGGAGCGAUAUCACCGUAGCCAAUUGUGCACAUGGUUACUAUGCAGAAGUAGAGUGCGUCGACGACAGGGUGAGUCUCGAUGCCGGAGAAGCUGCCGGAGUUGAAAGAGUAGACUAUUACGCCCAAGGAGAGGUAGACAAGAAGGAGAAUUGCUGCCUGACGAACGAGGGAGGAUAAUUCGGGUUGGGGUUUAGGGUCGUCAGCAGCGUGUUCAGAGGAGGGAUGGAGGUCGCGACCGACGACUGCCAUGGCGGGUGCUGUCCUGCAUCGUCGGAUCUUGUUGCGAGGGACAUUAGAGUGGUGGAGGAGGAGGAGGGUUGGGGAUUCCAAGGAAGAGGAUGAACGGAUUAAGGAUUGAGCUUCUUCUUCUUCUUCUUGUUCUUGGGAAUCGUUGUUGUUGUUGUGUUGUUGAUUGUCGAUAAUAUCGAGGAAGACGGAAGAAGGGAAAGGGUUGGGGCUGUUAGAGUGAGAUUGAGAGUGAGAAGAAGAAAAGGACGAAGAAGAUGAAGAAGAAGAAGAAGGUCUCCUGUCUGAAUCGGAGAGUAAAGAGGAAUUGAGAGAUUUGUGAAGUUGUUUUGUUGGUUUAGUUUCCAUGUGAAUGAAUUGCUGCUGACCAGACCAGUGUGUCUUAGGAAGAGAGUAUAUAAUAAAUAAUACUUUUUCAAAGCAUCAAAACAAAACAGAAAAGUGAGAAACGAUCGCGAUCGUCCGAUUGCUUCUGUUUCCCCCCUGCCAAAUAUGAUAAUAUACUUUUUAUUAUUAUUAUUAUUAUUAUUAUUAUAGACAAAUAUACCUCCUAAGAAUCUGGACCCACUUGUUUUGACUACAUCCAUGCCAUCCAUCCAUUAAUCCUUUA